rnacentral:rRNA from 1 species
UACAGGGGGUGCAAACGUUGCUCGGAAUCAUUGGGCGUAAAGCGCACGUAGGCGGUUCGUUAUGUCGGAUGUGAAAGCCCUUGGCUUAACCGAGGAAGUGCAUCCGAAACUGGCGAGCUAGAGUACUAAAGAGGAUCGCGGAAUUCCCGGUGUAGAGGUGAAAUUCGUAGAUAUCGGGAGGAACACCGGUGGCGAAGGCGGCGAUCUGGGUAGAUACUGACGCUGAGGUGCGAAAAGCGUGGGGAGCAAACAGGG